CCCGUCACGUCACGAAAGUUGGUAACACCCGAAGCUCAUGGCCUAACCGGUUUUCCGGGGGGAGUGGUCGAAGGUGGGAUUGGCGAUUGGGACGAAGUCGUAACAAGGUAGCCGUACCGGAAGGUGCGGCUGGAUCACCUCCUUUCUAGGGAGCCCUGUUGGGGAUUGCUGUGCUGUGCUGCUUGUGGGUGGUGUGGUGUGGUGGUUUCUUGUGCUCAUGCUUGGUCAUCAUGCGUUGUGUGUGGUGGGUGUGGGUGCGUUGUGGGGUUGGGUGUAGAUGAUGGACACGCUGUCGGGUUCACGGUCAAUACCUGUUGGCCGGUGGCCCUGCUGUGUUGUGGGGUUGUGUGGCUUGCUGGCUGCCUGCGCGCGUGUGGUUGUGUGUGGUGGUUGGUGUGGUGGGUUGUUUGUGAUUUGUAUAGUGGUUGUGAGCAUCUUUUUUGUUCUGUGGUUUUGUUUAGUUGUGUGGGGCAUUCGGUGGAUGCCUUGGCAUCAAGAGCUGAUGAAGGACGUUGCGGCCUGCGAUAUGCCUCGGGGAGUUGGCGAGCGAACUGUGA
rnacentral:misc_RNA from 1 species